CGGACGGGUGAGUAACACGUGGAUAACCUACCUAUAAGACUGGGAUAACUUCGGGAAACCGGAGCUAAUACCGGAUAACAUAUUGAACCGCAUGGUUCAAUAGUGAAAGGCGGCUUUGCUGUCACUUAUAGAUGGAUCCGCGCCGUAUUAGCUAGUUGGUAAGGUAACGGCUUACCAAGGCAACGAUGCGUAGCCGACCUGAGAGGGUGAUCGGCCACACUGGAACUGAGACACGGUCCAG
rnacentral:rRNA from 1 species